rnacentral:tRNA from 1 species
GCGCCCGUAGCUCAACUGGAUAGAGCAGGGAACUUCUAAUUCUCAGGCUGGGGGUUCGAGUCCUCCCGGGCGCGCCA